rnacentral:rRNA from 1 species
UACGGGAGGCAGCAGUGGGGAAUAUUGCACAAUGGGCGCAAGCCUGAUGCAGCCAUGCCGCGUGUAUGAAGAAGGCCUUCGGGUUGUAAAGUACUUUCAGUCGUGAGGAAGGUGUUAAGGUUAAUAACCUUAGCAAUUGACGUUAGCGACAGAAGAAGCACCGGCUAACUCCGUGCCAGCAGCCGCGGUAAUACGGAGGGUGCGAGCGUUAAUCGGAAUUACUGGGCGUAAAGGGCACGCAGCGGUUAAUUAAGUUGGAUGUGAAAUCCCCGGGCUUAACCUGGGAAUGGCAUUCAAGACUGGUUAGCUAGAGUCUUGUAGAGGGGGUAGAAUUCCAUGUGUAGCGGUGAAAUGCGUAGAGAUGUGGAGGAAUACCGGUGGCGAAAGGCGGCCCCUGGACAAAAGACUGACGCUCAUGUGCGAAAAGCGUGGGGAGCAAAACAGGGAUUAGAUACC